rnacentral:rRNA from 1 species
UACAGAGGGUGCGAGCGUUAAUCGGAAUUACUGGGCGUAAAGCGCGCGUAGGCGGCUUUGUAAGUCGGAUGUGAAAUCCCCGGGCUUAACCUGGGAACUGCAUUCGAGACUGCAUAGCUUGAGUAUGGGAGAGGGAGGCGGAAUUUCCGGUGUAGCGGUGAAAUGCGUAGAUAUCGGAAGGAACAUCAGUGGCGAAAGCGGCCUCCUGGACCAAUACCGACGCUCAUGUGCGAAAGCGUGGGGAGCAAACAGG